UUGCUCUGAUGACCUCCUCACGAGGUUCUUUGAUGUUUUCUGAUUGGUCCCCGAAAACCAGCUGGCAUUACGUCAUUGUAAGAUGGCGGCCCCGUUAGUGGAGCAUGUUGUGGCGGACGCAGCAGCGUUUUUGAAGCGCGUCCCUCUUCAGGAGAUGGUCAGAAACAU